GAUGAACGCUGGCGGCGUGCCUAAUACUUGCAAGUCGAGCGAACGGACGAGAAGCUUGCUUCUCUGAUGUUAGCGGCGGACGGGUGAGUAACACGUGGAUAACCUACCUAUAAGACUGGGAUAACUUCGGGAAACCGGAGCUAAUACCGGAUAAUAUUUUGAACCGCAUGGUUCAAAAGUGAAAGACGGUCCUGCUGUCACUUAUAGAUGGAUCCGCGCUGCAUUAGCUAGUUGGUAAGGUAACGGCUUACCAAGGCAACGAUGCAUAGCCGACCUGAGAGGGUGAUCGGCCACACUGGAACUGAGACACGGUCCAGACUCCUACGGGAGGCAGCAGUAGGGAAUCUUCCGCAAUGGGCGAAAGCCUGACGGAGCAACGCCGCGUGAGUGAUGAAGGUCUUCGGAUCGUAAAACUCUGUUAUUAGGGAAGAACAUAUGUGUAAGUAACUGUGCACAUCUUGACGGUACCUAAUCAGAAAGCCACGGCUAACUACGUG
rnacentral:rRNA from 1 species